GUGAAUCAAUGAAUUUCAAUUUGUGAAUCAAUGAAAUCAAAAAAAAAAAAAUACAAUCCUAGAUCUUAUCAAUGCAUCAAUGCAGAAACAAAGCAACAAAACACAACAAUUUCAGACAAACCUAAGAGUUUCAAUUUCCUCCAAACCAAUGUUCGAUCAAAUAUGAAAUUGCUAUCUCAUUUCUCUCUCUAGAAGUACAAAUUAGUUACCUGGUGAAUGGGAGAGGACAGAUCGAAAUUGAUAUCCCUGCUAACAGUCACCAUCGAACUUCCACCACCGACCAUCGCGGCUCUCGCCAUCGUCGCUCACCAUCGCGGCCCCCCUCCCAACCACAUUCAGCAAAAGGGCAACUAGAUGAUGGACAAGGCCAGCAAUGCUGCCCUAUCUGCUAAGGAAAGCAUGCAAGAGAAAUGAAGAUAAAGAAGGCCAGAUAAAAUGUCCUGUACAACACAUGACAAUUGCAGCCUGCAGAUCCAUGAUUGUGCAUAAGGGGCUCAUAACAGGCUCAUUACAUCACCACCUGUUGCUGUUUUUCCUCACCACCUUGCAAGUGAUCUUAGUUUCUCAAGGUACUGGAAUUACUUGAGGAAUCACACAUUUGUUCUGGAAUCAUACACCACAAAGGUUAACUGGAUAAUGAACCGGGCAUUACUUCUCGUGGUAAGAAUACUACUUUUACAAGUAGGCUGUAAGUGUUAAAGAUUGAUGAGCAGAAUCGUGAGUGUCCAUGUCCUACUGAUUUUAAAAUUAUAAAAGUAUCUAGCAAAAGGCAUCUAUAAUUUAAUAAUAGCCCAUUGAAACAUAAUGUCAGAUUAAGCCCAUUGAUACAAUUCCUUGUAUGAAAAUAGUUUUGUACUUGGAAUAAAAAGCUCAAGCUAGAGAUUGAAGUGUUGGGAGUUCAACUUAUUUCUUCCGCAGUGAUGAUUCUUGUUCUCACUUUCAUGAACUAUAUUCUCUCCAGGGUUGGUACUAGCUGGCGGCCUAGCUAUAUGCACUUUUCUAGAACUUCUCUCUAUGUGGAACUUGACAAGAAGGAACCACAAUUGUGUCCAUUUUUUACAAUUCAUGUCUCUUUGGUGUUUCUCUCAGCGUAGUUAUACUGAAUUUGCUGAGUUCAUCACUAAAACAUUUAUGAAAAAAAUUAGAACAAGUGGUUUGGGACCCAGAGAACCACAACACUGUGUUCGCAAACGAUUUCAAUUUCAGCACUGAGCAGAGAUUUGUUGGUCGACCUGUGGAAGAAUUUAAACCUCUCAAACCAACUCUGCUACCCAACUAUAACUAAUGAGUAUACUGAUUUUGAUGGAUCAGAAUUAGAUCCUGGCUGUGAGUUGCUUGAUUUGGGAAAUGGAUUUCCUUGCCUAAUUAUGUUUGUCUACAAUGUCCCUCUAGUGAUAAAAUCAGUUCUCCAAUUUAAUAUGUUAGUAAUUAGAGCAUUUAGACUCAAAAUUGAUAUUUUAGGGACCAAAUUAAAGAGGGAGGAGAAAAAUAAAAUAAAAUAAAAUAAAAUAAAAAUGUGAACCAACGGCUACAAAUACUUUGGUGGAUGCAUGAUAGGACUAGAGCAUGAAACAGUUGUAACCAUACUGCCUCUGGAUUGCACUAAAUGAAUCAUACUCCCUUUUCAAAUUUUAUUUAGUGUAACACUUUUGUAACUGCAACAAUUGAAUUUGAAAGUUUAUGUUGCUC